GAUGAACGCUGGCGGCGUGCCUAAUACAUGCAAGUCGAGCGAACAGACGAGGAGCUUGCUCCUUUGACGUUAGCGGCGGACGGGUGAGUAACACGUAGGUAACCUACCUAUAAGACUGGGAUAACUUCGGGAAACCGGAGCUAAUACCGGAUAAUAUUUCGAACCGCAUGGUUCGAUAGUGAAAGAUGGCUUUGCUAUCACUUAUAGAUGGACCUGCGCCGUAUUAGCUAGUUGGUAAGGUAACGGCUUACCAAGGCAACGAUACGUAGCCGACCUGAGAGGGUGAUCGGCCACACUGGAACUGAGACACGGUCCAGACUCCUACGGGAGGCAGCAGUAGGGAAUCUUCCGCAAUGGGCGAAAGCCUGACGGAGCAACGCCGCGUGAGUGAUGAAGGUCUUCGGAUCGUAAAACUCUGUUAUUAGGGAAGAACAAACGUGUAAGUAACUGUGCACGUCUUGACGGUACCUAAUCAGAAAGCCACGGCCAACUACGUG
rnacentral:rRNA from 1 species